CAGUAGGGAAUCUUCCACAAUGGACGAAAGUCUGAUGGAGCAACGCCGCGUGAGUGAAGAAGGGUUUCGGCUCGUAAACUCUGUUGUUAAAGAAGAACAUAUCUGAGAGUAACUGUUCAGGUAUUGACGGUAUUUAACCAGAAAGCCACGGCUAACUACGUGCCAC
rnacentral:rRNA from 1 species